GUGGGUGAGUUAAAUAAGACCUGUACCCUCUGUGGGUGAGGUAAAUAAGACCAGUACCCUCUGUGGGUGAGGUAAAUAAGACCUGUACCCUCUGUGGGUGAGGUAAAUAAGACCCGUACCCUCUGUGGGUGAGGUAAAUAAGACCCGUACCCUCUGUGGGUGAGGUAAAUAAAGACCCGUACCCUCUGUGGGUGAGGUAAAUAAAGACCCGUACCCUCUGUGGGUGAGGUAAAUAAGACCUGUACCCUCUGUGGGUGAGGUAAAUAAAGACCCGUACCCUCUGUGGGUGAGGUAAAUAAGACCCGUACCCUCUGUGGGUGAGGUAAAUAAGACCUGUACCCUCUGUGGGUGAGGUAAAUAAAGACCCGUACCCUCUGUGGGUGAGGUAAAUAAAGACCCGUACCCUCUGUGGGUGAGGUAAAUAAAGACCCGUACCCUCUGUGGGUGAGGUAAAUAAAGACCCGUAUCCUCUGUGGGUGAGGUAAAUAAAGACCCGUACCCUCUGUGGGUGAGGUAAAUAAAGACCCGUACCCUCUGUGGGUGAGGUAAAUAAAGACCCGUACCCUCUGUGGGUGAGGUAAAUAAGACCUGUACCCUCUGUGGGUGAGGUAAAUAAAGACCCGUACCCUCUGUGGGUGAGGUAAAUAAAGACCCGUACCCUCUGUGGGUGAGGUAAAUAAAGACCCGUACCCUCUGUGGGUGAGGUAAAUAAAGACCCGUACCCUCUGUGGGUGAGGUAAAUAAGACCUGUACCCUCUGUGGGUGAGGUAAAUAAAGACCCGUACCCUCUGUGGGUGAGGUAAAUAAGACCUGUACCCUCUGUGGGUGAGGUAAAUAAAGACCCGUACCCUCUGUGGGUGAG